UCCCCAUUGCCGCGUUGCUAUACAUGCAAGUCGAACGACUCUGGUAUUGAUUGGUGCUUGCAUCAUGAUUUACAUUUGAGUGAGUGGCGAACUGGUGAGUAACACGUGGGAAACCUGCCCAGAAGCGGGGGAUAACACCUGGAAACAGAUGCUAAUACCGCAUAACAACUUGGACCGCAUGGUCCGAGCUUGAAAGAUGGCUUCGGCUAUCACUUUUGGAUGGUCCCGCGGCGUAUUAGCUAGAUGGUGGGGUAACGGCUCACCAUGGCAAUGAUACGUAGCCGACCUGAGAGGGUAAUCGGCCACAUUGGGACUGAGACACGGCCCAAACUCCUACGGGAGGCAGCAGUAGGGAAUCUUCCACAAUGGACGAAAGUCUGAUGGAGCAACGCCGCGUGAGUGAAGAAGGGUUUCGGCUCGUAAAACUCUGUUGUUAAAGAAGAACAUAUCUGAGAGUAACUGUAGUAACUGUCAGGUAUGACGUAUUUAACCAGAAAGCCACGGCUAACUACGUGCCAGCAGCCGCGGUAAUACGUAGGUGGCAAGCGUGUCCGGAUUUAUUGGGCGUAAAGCGAGCGCAGGCGGUUUUUUAAGUCUGAUGUGAAAGCCUUCGGCUCAACCGAAGAAGUGCAUCGGAAACUGGGAAACUUGAGUGCAGAAGAGGACAGUGGAACUCCAUGUGUAGCGGUGAAAUGCGUAGAUAUAUGGAAGAACACCAGUGGCGAAGGCGGCUGUCUGGUCUGUAACUGACGCUGAGGCUCGAAAGUAUGGGUAGCAAACAGGAUUAGAUACCCUGGUAGUCCAUACCGUAAACGAUGAAUGCUAAGUGUUGGAGGGUUUCCGCCCUUCAGUGCUGCAGCUAACGCAUUAAGCAUUCCGCCUGGGGAGUACGGCCGCAAGGCUGAAACUCAAAGGAAUUGACGGGGGCCCGCACAAGCGGUGGAGCAUGUGGUUUAAUUCGAAGCUACGCGAAGAACCUUACCAGGUCUUGACAUACUAUGCAAAUCUAAGAGAUUAGACGUUCCCUUCGGGGACAUGGAUACAGGUGGUGCAUGGUUGUCGUCAGCUCGUGUCGUGAGAUGUUGGGUUAAGUCCCGCAACGAGCGCAACCCUUAUUAUCAGUUGCCAGCAUUAAGUUGGGCACUCUGGUGAGACUGCCGGUGACAAACCGGAGGAAGGUGGGGAUGACGUCAAAUCAUCAUGCCCCUUAUGACCUGGGCUACACACGUGCUACAAUGGAUGGUACAACGAGUUGCGAACUCGCGAGAGUAAGCUAAUCUCUUAAAGCCAUUCUCAGUUCGGAUUGUAGGCUGCAACUCGCCUACAUGAAGUCGGAAUCGCUAGUAAUCGCGGAUCAGCAUGCCGCGGUGAAUACGUUCCCGGGCCUUGUACACACCGCCCGUCACACCAUGAGAGUUUGUAACACCCAAAGUCGGUGGGGUAACCUUUUAGGAACCAGCCGCCUAAGGUGGGACAGAUGAUUAGGGUGAAGUCGAUCAAGAAGCUAACCCAC
rnacentral:rRNA from 2 species